UUCCCCUAGUAACUGCGAGUGAAGCGGGAAAAGCUCAAAUUUAAAAUCUGGCGGUCUUUGGCCGUCCGAGUUGUAAUCUAGAGAAGUGUUAUCCGCGCUGGACCGUGUACAAGUCUCCUGGAAUGGAGCGUCAUAGAGGGUGAGAAUCCCGUCUUUGACACGGACUGCCAGGGCUUUGUGAUGCGCUCUCAAAGAGUCGAGUUGUUUGGGAAUGCAGCUCAAAAUGGGUGGUAAAUUCCAUCUAAAGCUAAAUAUUGGCGAGAGACCGAUAGCGAACAAGUACCGUGAGGGAAAGAUGAAAAGAACUUUGGAAAAGAGAGUUAAACAGUACGUGAAAUUGCUGAAAGGGAAACGCUUGAAGUCAGUCGCGUUGGCCGGGGAUCAACCUUGCUUUUGCUGGGCGUACUUUCCGGUCGACGGGUCAGCAUCAAUUUUGAUCGUUGGAUAAAGGUUAGGGGAAUGUGGCAUCUUCGGAUGUGUUAUAGCCCUUGGUCGCAUACAACGGUUGGGAUUGAGGAACUCAGCACGCCGCAAGGCCGGGUACUUGUACCACGUUCGUGCUUAGGAUGCUGGCAUAAUGGCUUUAAUCGACCCGUCUUGAAACACGGACCAAGGAGUCUAACAUGCCUGCGAGUGUUUGGGUGGAAAACCCGAGCGCGUAAUGAAAGUGAAAGUUGAGAUCCCUGUCGUGGGGAGCAUCGACGCCCGGACCAGACCUUUUGUGACGGAUCCGCGGUAGAGCAUGUAUGUUGGGACCCGAAAGAUGGUGAACUAUGCCUGAAUAGGGUGGAAGCCAGAGGAAACUCUGGU
rnacentral:rRNA from 1 species